rnacentral:rRNA from 1 species
GCCCUGGGCUCAACCUGGGAAUGGCAUUGGAAACUGGCUGACUGGAGACCAGUAGGGGUUGGUGGAAUUCCCGGUGUAGCGGUGGAAUGCGUAGAUAUCGGGAAGAACACCCGUGGCGAAGGCGGCCAACUGGGCUGGAUCUGACGCUGAGGCGCGAAAGCGUGGGGAGCAAACA